rnacentral:tRNA from 1 species
UUUAUAUAGUUUAAGAAAAACACUAGAUUGUGAUUCUAGU